CUGGAGGCAGCAGUGGGGAAUAUUGCGCAAUGGGGGAAACCCUGACGCAGCAACGCCGCGUGAAGGAUGAAGGUUUUCGGAUCGUAAACUUCUUUGAUGGGGGACGAAAAAAAUGACGGUACCCCAAAAACAAGCCACGGCUAACUACGUGCCAGCAGCCGCGGUAAUACGUAGGUGGCGAGCGUUGUCCGGAAUUACUGGGUGUAAAGGGCAUGUAGGCGGGAAUGUAAGUCAGAUGUGAAAUGCCGAGGCUUAACCUCGGAGCUGCAUCUGAAACUGCGUUUCUUGAGUGUCGGAGAGGAAAGUGGAAUUCCCAGUGUAGCGGUGAAAUGCGUAGAUAUUGGGAGGAACACCAGUGGCGAAGGCGACUUUCUGGACGAUAACUGACGCUGAGGCGCGAAAGCGUGGGGAGCAAACAGGAUUAGAUACCCCUGUAG
rnacentral:rRNA from 1 species